CAACCUGAAACAGUGACUGAGCACCUGGUGGGAAGGCAGGGCCAACCCAGGGGAGCUCAGGUGCAUGCAAUUAACCAGAAGGGGUGAAGCCAAGAUCCACUCCUUGCCAGAUCUCAUUUAAGGGUUGGCAGUGGAGGUGAAAGUACCUCUCUGGAGAUCCCUGCCUACUGGAGGUCUUUCAAAGGUCGUAUAUAUGCUUCUCCUGCGAGAAAUACAUACAGAAACUUGAAUCAGACCCAGCGCUCUCAAAGAUCCUUAAGAUGAGACACGAACAGAUUUGUCCAGGGAACAAGUAGCAACAAUGGGUCUCCGAAUACAGACGUCCAGACCCGUGAUUGAAGCAGAAUGUAAU